rnacentral:rRNA from 1 species
GCGCCUUGCCAGCCCGCUCAGAAACUCAAAGGAAGUUGACGGGGACCCGCACAAGCAGCGGAGCGUGUGGUUUAAUUCGUUGCUACACGAAGAACCUUACCUGGGUUUGACAUAUAGGUUGUAGGGAACUGAAAAGGGACCGACCUUCGGGGAGCCUAUACAGGUGUUGCAUGGCUGUCGUCAGCUCGUGUCGUGAGAUGUUCGGUUAAGUCCGCUAACGAGCGCAACCCUCGUCGUAUGUUAUAUGUGUCAUACGAGACUGCCGGUAAAAAGCCGGAGGAAGGUGAGGAUGAUGUCAAGUCAGCAUGACCUUUAUAUCCAGGGCUACACACACGCUACAAUGGUCUGUACAAUGGGUAGCCAAGCCGCGAGGCGGAGCCAAUCCUGAAAGCAGGCCUCAGUUCAGAUUGCAGUCUGCAACUCGACUGCAUGAAGCCGGAGUUGCUAGUAACCGCAGGUCAGCAAUACUGCGGUGAAUACGUUCCGGGUCUU